UUUUGGCUGCUAUAACAGAAUAUCACACACUGGUAAUUAAUAAAGAAUAGAAUUUUAUUUGACUCAUGAUUCUGGAGGCUGGGAAGCCAAAACAACAUUAUACUGGUAUAUGUUGAAGGUCUAGUUGCUGGAUAAUAACAUACACAAAGAUGUGAGGGAGAGAGAGCUUUUUUUUUUUAAUAUAUAACAGAUCCAUUCUUGUUAUAAUUAGCCCAUUCCCAUAAUAAGAACGUUAAUCCAUUCAUGAGGGCAGAGUGCUUAUAGCUUAAUUAAUUUUUAAAGGUUCCACCUGUUAAUUCUAACAUGUUGGCUAUUAAAUUUUAUCCUAAAUUUUGGAGAUGACAUUCAGUGUACAGCAGUAUCUGUUUAGUAGAUACUUUAAUCUUUUUAUUUGUAAGGUAGUGAUAGGUAAGCAGUUACUAUUGUACAUUUGUAGUUUUCUGUCCAUUUUAAGUUUGCUUCUUUUUUUUCUGGUUCUGUCUUUCCUGUGGUAUUGUUCAUUUUUGUUGAGACAAAGUUAUGCUUUCUUGCUCAGACUGAAGUGCAGUGGCAUAUCACAGCUCACUGUAGCCUUAACCUCCUGGGCUCAAAUAAUCGUCCCACCUUAGCCACCCAAGUAGCUUGGACUGCAGACAUGUACCACAACACCCAAGGAGAUUUGAUUCUUCCACCUUGGCCUCCCAAAGUGUUGGAAUUAUAAGCAGGAGACACCAUAUCCAAUGUGUAAUUUUUGUUGUUUGUGUAUGCUUUAAUUACUUUCUCUUUUUCUUUACUAUUUUUUUUUCCUACUGGUUAUCAUGAGACUUAUGUAAAACAUCUUGUAUUUUAAUAGUCUAGUUUAAGAUGAUAACAAUUUAUAGUAUUCUGAAAUUCAGUAUGUAUUUACCAUUUUAGUGACAUUUAUACUUUAGUAUUUUUCAUAUUGUUAGUUAGCAUUUCAUCAUAUCAAUGUGAAGAUUUCUUCCAGACCAUGGCUGGAGAAGGAAAGAAGGUGUGUUUUGCCUGAUUCAGGGACUAUAGAGAGAACCAAGUUCUGCAGGCCUGUCAUCUAAGUCUCAGCUGGGUGUCACAAACUCUGAACUGGAUUCCAAGGCUUUCAUGAAUGCACUUAUGUUUGCUGUGGCAGCUGCAUUAUGUCGUGGGGGAUGUGGAUGCAGAACCUCCCAUUCUGUCGUCUUGCUUAUGUUACUCUCCUUUAUGUUUCACUUUCUCAAAUGAAUGUCAAGCAGGUGAUUUUCAGAUUCAAAAGUUCUAAAAUAAAUUGCUCAAAUUUACACAUUAUGUAAGCUGUUAAUAAAAUUUCUUGUAGGUGCUACAUAUUUAUUAAAAUUUUUGGUUGUAAUUUUAAGCUCACUGUAGGCAGAAAGGAAUCAUUAAGAUUUCUAUUCUUUUUUAGUCUGUAUCUAAAUGACCAUAUAUUUUAAUUCCAAAUAUUUACUUUAUACUUCAGUAAUGCUCAUUGUAUUUUGCAAAAUUUAUAUUGUUCUUUUAUUUGAAAAUAUAAGGCUUUUUUUAGCUCCUGAAAUCUAUAUUAUAGUCAUAUAGUUUUAUUAUAGUAUUUGAUAAGAAGAGCAGCAACAUAUUGAGAACAGAAUAAAAUUCUGCUGUCUUUUUAAUGAUUAUUUAUUAAAUUCUUCUCAUUAAAGCCUAUUAUUAAUGAUUGUAAUGUAUUUACUGUAUAAUUUUACUGCAAUUUAUUAAAUGCCAAUGACUUCUAAUGUCUGCUUUUCAUGACUGCACACAGUUUAAAGCUGUAGAUAUCUAAAGGGUUAUUUUUCAGCCCGGCACGGUGGCUCAUGCCUGUAAUCCCAGCACUUUGGGAGGCCAAGGUGGGUGGAUCACGAGGUCAGGAGAUCAAGACCAUCCUGGCUAACACGGUGAAACCCAGUCUCUACUAAAUAUAGAAAAAAUUAGCCGGGCAUAGUGGCGGGUGCCUGUAUUCCCAGCUACUCGAGAGGCUGAGGCAGGAGAAUGGCGUGAACCCAGUAGGCGGAGCUUGCAGUGAGCCGAGAUGGCACCACUGCACUCCAGCCUGGGCGACAGGGUGAGACUGUCUCAAAAAAAAACAAAAAGGGCUUAUUUUUCAUUGUAUAUUUAUGUUGUAUUCAGGAUUUUAUGCAUUAAAAUCUCUCUUCUUAUUUUCA
rnacentral:lncRNA from 1 species